UCGUGCAAGAGCAUAAAAUAUGAGCAGCAAUUGAUUUCAACAUUUGUGUGUCGUAUAGAAAGAAAACAAAACAAUGUUGAAUUGAGCAAAGUCAGCCAUUUGGCAAUAAUAACAGUUAGUCACCAUCAGAGCAGCAAGUGAACGUGGUGAAAAACUGGCUUGCCCUCACAAAACAACAUAAUGAUGGCAUAUGCCAUAUACAUAUGUAUGUAUGUAAGUGUGUAUGUACUGUGCAUCUACGCAGUAGCAUCGCGGGGGUGUUUUACAGAGAUAAGCAGCGCGCCCCACGCACAACGCAGCGAAGUGUUAGCGUCAUAACAUUACAAUGUUGUAAAGCGGAAAGAGGCUAGCGUGCAAUGUUAUUUGUCGUCAUACCAUUAUUAUAAACAUGUAUGUACAUACGCAUGUAUGUAUGUAAAAUUCAGCUGAGAUGUCAUCAUUUGUGAUGAGCUGGUGGUGCGCGUUUCCUAUAGAAAGUAACUAGUUCCUACUAUAUACACUUCGUAAAUAAACUCAUUAAACUUAAUAAGCGUGCUACAAUAACAAGUGCUGUAAUUGUAAAAUCUAGCUGCUCAUACGGAUAGACGGACACAGCUACAUACAUAUAUCGUCCACAAUGCUGACGCUGAUCAAUAAUAUGUACAUAUGUACUUUAUGGGCUCCUUUUCUAUGUAACAUUUUAUGCCGAAACCCUUCUACCCUAUACGUAGCUUGUAUAACAAAUUUGUAAUAACAAAAAGGAAAGAAAUUAAAAGCGGUAUACUGUUCAGA